rnacentral:hammerhead_ribozyme from 1 species
ACUUUGCUAACGAGUGCCAAAUAGCACGAAACCCGCGUCCAGGGU